rfam:Schistosoma margrebowiei strain Zambia genome assembly, scaffold: SMRZ_contig0006960
AUCCAGCUGACGAAUCCCAAACAGGACGGAACGCGCGUCCUGGAU